UCCAAAUAACAAAAGGCUUUCGGUGGAUACCUAGGCAUUCAGAGACGAUGAAAGGCGUGGGUACCUACGAAAAGCUUCGGGGAGUUGGAAACACGCGAUGAUCCGAAGAUUCCUGAUAUAGGGCAACCUAAGAACUGCUCGUUGAAUUCAUAGAUGAGUAAGAGACAACCUACUGAACUGAAACAUCUUAGUAAGUAGAGGAAAAGAAAGCAAAAGCGAUUUCCUUAGUAGCGGCGAGCGAAAAGGAAACAGUCUAAUCAAACAUUAAUAUAGAUCACAUUGUUAAAUGAAUCAGCUGAAACCUGAACCAAAGAUGGUGAAAGUCCAGUAGUUUAAAACAAUGUAACAUUAACUUAAAAAUCAACCUAAAUUAACAAAAUCUAUCUUUGAUUAAAGUAGCCCGGGACACGUGAAAUCCUGUGUGAAUAAACGAGGACCACCUCGUAAGACUAAAUACUCCUGAAUGACCGAUAGUGGAUUAGUACCGUGAGGGAAAGGUGAAAAGACUCAAAAUAGAGUAGUGAAAAAGAACAUGAAACCGUCAGCUGACAAUCUGUGGGAGCUAAACAAUGCAAAUCCGAUUUUGGACAGCAGAGUGACCGCGUGCCUGUUGAAGAAUGAGCCAGCGACUUAUAGGGAAUGGCUUGGUUAAGCUUUUUGUGAAGCCAAAGCGAAAGCAAGUCUUAAUAGGGCGUAUGUCAUUUCUUAUGGACCCGAACCUAAUUGAUCUAACGAUGGCCAGGAUGAAUGUUGGGUAACACCAAAUGGAGGUCCGAACCGACUGAUGUUGAAAAAUCAGCGGAUGAGUUGUCGUUAGCGGUGAAAUUCCAGUCGAAAUUAGAGCUAGCUGGAUCUCCUCGAAAUGUGUUGAGGCGCAGCGGUUGUUAAUGGACUACUUAGGGGUAAAGCACUGUUUCGGUGCGGGCUACGAAAGUGGUACCAAAUCGAGGCAAACUAAGAAUACUAAGUAUGUUUUCUAAUGACCAGUAAGACAGUGGGGGAUUAAAGCAAAGUCCCAUAUAACAAAAAGUUAUUUAACAAAUUCAGUGAAUUGCAAAAAAAAUAUAAAACUAUUUACAUUUGCAACGAGAAUUAAGCAUAAUAAAUGUUUAAUUAACGCUCAAAGACUAAACUAAAAAAAUUUUUAGAAUUUCAAGAACACUGAACUGAUGUUUAACUAAUUAAACAUUUAGAUUACAUAGUCUGAUCCGAAAUUUUGAAUUCGGUAUGAGCUACUAAAAUAUUACGGUUGUUUAAAAAUAUAUAUAAUUACGAAACAAAUGAUUACACAACAAAUUUUUAGCUUCCAAGGUUUUUUUGAUACGGAUGGAACAAUUCAAGUUACAUUAAAAAAGACAAAUAAAACAAAACAACAAUUUUACAAAUUUAAACAAGCUUGCUAUAUGUUAAAAUGUAAUUUCUUAUAUAAAGAAAAAGAAGCUAAAAUGUUUUUAAAUAUUGUUUAUAGCAUGAGCGAAAAUUCUAAACGAAAAUAUUCUAAAGAACAGUUUGAAAAGUCCCCUGGAUUGUACAAAAGUUAAAAAGUCGUAGGGCAUUAAAACCAAAUUUUAAAUUAUAUAAAAAACUGAUAAAUUUACAGAAUCGUAAUAUUUUAAUAGAAGCUCAAAAACAAAAUGAAGCUUCAUUGUCAAAAGGGAAACAGCCCACAUCACCAGCUAAGGCCCCAAAGUGAUAGCUAAGUGGCAAAGGAAGUGAAAAGGCAAAGACAAUUAGAAAGUUCGCUUAGAGGAAGCAAUCUUUAAAAGAGUGCGUAAUAGCUCACUGAUAGAGCCUUUUUGCGCCGAAAAUGAACGGGACUAAGUUAUCCGCCGAAGCUGUGGGUUACUUUUAUUUUAAUAAAAGUUGCGGUAGAGGAGCGUUUUGCUCAGGGUGAAGCGGAGACGUGAGUUUGAUCCGUGGACAAAGCAAAAGUGAGAAUGUUGGCUUGAGUAACGAAAAUAUAGGCGAGAAUCCUAUACCCCGAAAACCUAAGGGUUCCACUCGGAAGGCUCGUCCACGGUGGGUUAGUCAAGUCCUAAGAUCAGGCCGAAUGGCGUAGUCGAUGGUAAGCAGGUUAAUACUCCUGCACUUAUAUUCUUUUAACUAUACAGAGGGACAAAGUAGAUAUAACUAGAAUACUGACGAAGAAAAACGUUGGUUAGUGAAAACCUAUUUUCAAGAAAAGCUCUAACUAUGGACGUGUUAUUAGGUUUGCGCCGAAAGCACAUUAAAAGAUAUAACUUGUACCCUAAACCGACACAGGUAGGUAGGUAGAGCAUACUAAGGGGCGCGAGAUAACUCUCUCUAAGGAACUCGGCAAAAUGGCCCCGUAACUUCGGAAGAAGGGGUGAUAGUGUGGAGAUAAUAUCAAAGUGCUAUUCGCAGUGACCAGGCUCCGGCGACUGUUUAUCAAAAACACAGGUCUACGCAAAGUCGAAAGACAACGUAUGUGGGCUGACGCCUGCCCAGUGCCAGAAGGUUAAAGAAGUCGGUUAUUUUUCUUCGGAACGAGAAGCUGACGACUGAAGCCCUGGUGAACGGCGGCUGUAACUCUGACAGUUAAUCAAAAUCGAAAUUCCUUGUCAGGUAAGUUCUGACCCGCAAGAAUGGCGUAACGAUCGGAGCACUGUCUCGGAGAGAGACUCGGUGAAAUAGAAAUGUCUGUGAAGAUACGGACUACUUGUACCAGGACAGAAAGACCCUAUGAAGCUUGACUGGAACUUGAUAUUGGGUUCCGAUUUCUUUCGCGCAGUAUAGGUGGGAGGCGGCGAUAGGGCAUUUUCGGAUGUUCAGGAGCCAACAGUGAGAUACCACUCUUAAGAAAUUAGAAUUCUAAUAAGACUCCUUGAAUCAGGAUCUUAAACAGUGUCAAGUGGCUAGUUUGACUGGGGCGGUGACCUCCCAAAAGGUAACGGAGGUGUACAAAGGUUCCUUCAAGCUGGACGGAAAUCAGCUGUAGAGCGCAAAGGCAUAAGGGAGCUUGAUUGUGAGACCAACAAGUCAAACAAGGGCGAAAGCCGGUCUUAGUGAUCCGACGGUACCGUGUGGAAGGGCCGUCGCUCAACGGAUAAAAGUUACUCUAGGGAUAACAGGCUAAUCUCCCCCAAGAGUUCAUAUCGACGGGGAGGUUUGGCACCUCGAUGUCGGUUCAUCGCAACCUGGGGCUGUAGUAGGUCCCAAGGGUUGGGCUGUUCGCCCAUGAAAGCGGUACGUGAGCUGGGUUCAGAACGUCGUAAGACAGUUUGGUCCAUAUCCGGUAUAAGCGUAAAAGCAUUGAGAGGAUAUUAACAUUGUACGAGAGGACCAGAAAAUUCGUAUCACUAGUGUAACAGUUCUUUCAUAGGGAUAGCUGUGUAGCCAUAUACGGAAUGGAUAAUCGCUGAAAGCAUUUAAGUGAGAAGCCUACCUCAAGAUGAGUGCUUUGUCGCUACGGCAAGACAAGCCGGUAAUUGGUAUCAGGUAGAAGAUUAGCAAUAAUUGAAGCCGAGAUAUUCAAA
rnacentral:rRNA from 1 species